AUGGGCACUAGGUAGAGGGGUUUUGAUUAUUUCUCUGCCGGAGCUAACGCAUUAAGUGCCCCGCCUGGGGAGUACGGCCGCAAGGCUAAAACUCAAAGGAAUUGACGGGGGCUCGCACAAGCGGUGGAGCAUGUGGCUUAAUUCGAUGCAACGCGAAGAACCUUACCGGGGCUUGACAUGAUAGAAGUAGGAACCCGAAAGGGCGACGAACGGUAUCCAGCCCGAAACUAUCACAGGUGUUGCAUGGCUGUCGUCAGCUCGUGUCGUGAGACGUU
rnacentral:rRNA from 1 species